GACAAGGGUGGUGGCCGCUCUGGAGGUGCCUGGGGGGUUCCCUCAUGACCUCUCUGGGCUUAGUCCGUCCUCCACACUGUUGUGCAGCUUCUCCACCGCCUGGUAGAGGAUAAAUACUGUUACCCUUAUCCCUGGUCACAUCCAGGGAGACGCGGUCCAGCGGCCCAGGCAGGGGACAGUGCCGUUGUAGAGGUCCUUGAGCCCCUCCUUCCUCAGUAUCUGCAGCCGUAGGCCGGUGUGUUCCGCAUUUGUGCUGCUCCAGGCCCCGCAUCCGGGUCUCGAUCCCAUCCAGAGGAGCGUUUCCCAAGACACUGGCUGCGCCCACAAUGGUUCCGAAGACCGCAGCGACCAGCGGGUCCAUGGGCUUGCUGGGGUUGUCCCCUCGGUACCAGUUGUGCAGGGAGGUCAGGAGGAGAAGCAGAGGGCCUGGUUCCAGCCCUGCUUCAGCGUGGGUGCCAUGAGGCCCCGACGUCUCAAGUAUUGCUGUGUGUUUCAAGUGGAGGAGGUCAGAUUACAACUGACAUUUGUCCUUGACUACUGGACAUAUCACACCAGCCCUGAUUGCAGUUAUACUUGAAGCCAGAUCUACCCUUAACAUAUAUUCGUUUUACUAUUCAAUAAAUAUUAACUUAUCCUGAAUGGUA
rnacentral:lncRNA from 1 species